rnacentral:misc_RNA from 1 species
UAUGCUUCCCUUAAAUGUUUAUCUUUUUGUCAUGAACCCGUGUCAAAUUGAUGGUGAUUGGGGUCCAACGUGGUGGCCUAGCGGGGCUGACAAAUUGAAGUAAUAACCUUAAUCAUUUGUCCGAGUAGAGGCAACACAAGGUAAGUUCUUAUAUUCUUUCUACAUCUUGCUGGGUAGAGUUAUAUUGUACAUAUAUGGUUGAAUUAGUUGAGGUGCAUUCAAGUUGGCAUGACUCUAUGAUUUCAUUAGAUAAAAUCUUUAGAAAUCUACAUUGUCCAUUGGGAUUCUAUUAUUAAGAAGAAUAAUAUAAA